GGGAAAUCAGAGAGCUGCAGCUGAGUGCACAGAGGGAUGCUGCUUACCAGCCUGAUGUUCAAGGCUUGC
ensembl:miRNA Mir3965 microRNA 3965